ACGCGUAGCCUUCGUCCACGGCUCCACGAGGCAGAGGCAGCAGCCGCGGCACUCGAGCAAGCAAGCUUUUGUACUCUGCUCCAGUCAUCCGUCGUCUCCCUUUCCGCCGAGAUGCAGCGCCGGCUCCCGGCGCUCCUCCGCCGCGCGGCGGGCGCGGGGCCCGCGCGCCGGUGGCUCUCCGCCUCGUCCUCCCUCCUCUUCGACGACACCCAGGAGCAGUUCAAGGAGAGCGUGCACCGGUUCGCGCAGGAGCACAUCGCGCCGCACGCCGCCGCCAUCGACGCCUCCAACCACUUCCCCAAGGAGAAGAAUCUGUGGAAGCUCAUGGGGGACUUCAACCUGCACGGCCUCACCUCGCCAGAGGAGUACGGAGGGCUCGGGCUCGGUUACAUGUACCACUGCAUCGCCAUGGAGGAGAUCAGCAGGGCGUCCGGGUCGGUCGGCCUUUCCUACGGUGCACACUCAAAUCUCUGCAUCAACCAGCUGGUCCGUCAUGGCAGCCCUGCCCAAAAGGAAAAGUAUUUGCCGAAGCUUAUCAGUGGGGAGCAUAUUGGGGCAUUGGCGAUGAGUGAACCAAACUCUGGCUCUGAUGUUGUCAGUAUGAAGUGCAAAGCUGAGAAAGUAGAUGGCGGCUAUGUCAUUAACGGGAACAAGAUGUGGUGCACAAAUGGUCCGUCUGCUCAGACAUUGGUUGUUUACGCGAAAACAGAUAUAACUGCUGGAUCGAAAGGAAUAACUGCAUUCAUAAUUGAGAAGGGAAUGCCCGGGUUCAGUACUGCCCAGAAGUUGGACAAACUUGGCAUGCGAGGAAGUGACACAUGUGAGCUUGUCUUUGAGAACUGCUUUGUGCCUCAAGAGAAUGUUCUUGGUGAAGAAGGGAAAGGUGUUUAUGUCAUGAUGUCUGGUCUUGAUCUGGAAAGACUUGUAUUAGCUGGGGGCCCUAUUGGGCUCAUGCAGGCAUGCCUUGAUGUUGUUCUUCCUUAUGUUCGACAAAGGGAGCAAUUUGGCCGUCCGAUUGGUGAAUUUCAGUUCUUACAGGGGAAAAUGGCAGAUAUGUACACCUCCUUGCAAUCAUCAAGAUCAUUUGUAUACUCAGUUGCCAGGGACUGUGAUAAUGGCAAAGUUGACCGUAAGGAUUGUGCAGGAGUGAUCCUCUUUGCUGCUGAAAGGGCAACACAAGUUGCACUUGAGGCAAUCCAGUGUCUUGGUGGCAAUGGAUACAUAAAUGAGUACCCAACUGGCCGUCUCCUGAGAGAUGCAAAACUGUUUGAGAUUGGAGCUGGCACUAGUGAGAUCAGAAGAAUGAUAAUUGGUCGUGAACUGUUCAAAGAGGACUGAGAUUAUUCUUCUGGAAGCCAGCUAUCAGUGCAUAUUCUAACUGGAGGAGGCCCAAGCUUUGCGAGCCCGAAGUCUGAGAGUUUAGGGUUGUAUUCCUCGUCAAGAAGGAUGUUGGGGGACUUGAGAUCCCGGUAGAUGACCGGCGGGUUAGCCUUCUCAUGGAGGUAUUCGAGACCCUUAGCGGUUCCGUGGGCUAUCUUCAUCCUUAUAUGCCAACUUAGUGGUGUUUGAUCAGUAGUGAUAUCUGCGACAACAACAGUUCAACUUAUAAGUUUUUAAUGUAUCUAGUAAUCAAAUGUGCUAACGGUGACAGCACUUGAAAGUGAUGCUAUACUGUUGCCUGAAUACAUUUCACAUGUCCGCAAAAAAUAAUAAUUUGUUUCACAUGAUUUUUAAGUUCAAAAUGAUGCAUAGAUGUUAAUUCAUGAUCAAUAAGAAUCUAGAUUUUCAUUGUACGUAGUGUAAUUUGGAUGUUGUCAAGUUUGAAUGUAUUAAUGAAGAAAAGACUAGCGCUUACCAAGCAGGUGGUCUGCAAGUGAACCUAGGGCCAUGUACUCGUACACCAGUAGCCGUUGAUCUCCGUCUGCGCAAUAGCCUACCAAGCUGACCAGGUUUGGAUGGUGUAAGAGGCUGAGCAUCAAGACUUCAACCAGGAACUCGCGGUUGCCUUGAAAUCCGUUCAGGUCUAGUUGUUUGACAGCUACAAUCUGAUCAUGCAUCAGAAAGAUAAUUGAAGCAAAAUUAGCAGAUUGUUACAUGUCAGUAGGACUAUCCGAAGAAUGUUUGUCAUUGGGUUGUUCCUGUAUAUACCUGGCCAUUUUCAAGCUGUCCCUUGUAGACCCUGCCAAAGCCCCCCUCUCCCAGAAGGUAGUCGGAGCGGAAGUUCUUGGUGGCUGUCGCUAACUCACGGUAUGUGAAUGCUCUUGCAUUUUUGGCCAUGCUAGACCUUUCGGCAGGUUCACCGUUUGCUCUUAUUUCGGAUGAUGAUUGCCCAUGUUUCAGACCCUCUGCAAGGGACAAGCAUGCCAGCAAGAUGGAUUUGACAAAUGGUACAAAACGAAUCCUCCUUGGCCCUUACCAGAUUCCAUGAGGGGUGCUCCAGAUCGCGUCGAGACGGCGGCAUUUGCGACGGGGGAGGUGGCGACCUCCCCCGAUGCCGUCCUCCUCGGCGACGUCUUCUUCUCAGGCCUGAAGCAUGAAAAGCAUUUCACGGCCCGAAUUCCCCAAUGCAUGUGCCUCUCAACCGAACCUCCUCCUCGUGCCCACCACGAGAUCUCCAACCUCUCUGCUCUGUACAAUCCAGAAGACUCCUUGCACAUGCAAUGGCAGCAUGGACGAGGAGUUCUCCUCCCUUGCUGCGAGAUCCUGGUCACAGAUUGCCAUCGCACUCGUCUUGCAAGAAGAAUGCGAUCCCUGUGGAGGGGAUGUGAUCGGGUAGGAGGAGCAUUGUCACCGUGCCUUUUGUGGAGGUCAAUGUGCUCAGCCAAGAAUAGGAUCUCUCUCGGUUUUGGGCCACAGUUGAGCUCUAAAAUUAGAAUGUUGAAGGUCGGCGUCCUCUGGAAUGCACUGGAUGUAAACGCCUUCCCUGAUUCCCUGAAUUUUCUCAUUUUU